UACGUAGGGCGCAAGCGUUAUCCGGAAUUAUUGGGCGUAAAGAGCUCGUAGGCGGUUUGUCGCGUCUGCCGUGAAAGUCCGGGGCUCAACUCCGGAUCUGCGGUGGGUACGGGCAGACUAGAGUGAUGUAGGGGAGACUGGAAUUCCUGGUGUAGCGGUGUAAUGCGCAGAUAUCAGGAAGAACACCCGUGGCGAAGGCGGCUCUCUGGGACGGUACUGACGCUGAGACGCGAAAGCGUGGGGAGCGAACAGG
rnacentral:rRNA from 1 species